UACGGAGGGGGCUAGCGUUGUUCGGAAUUACUGGGCGUAAAGCGCACGUAGGCGGACUGUUAAGUCGGGGGUGAAAUCCUGGGGCUCAACCUCAGAAUUGCCUUCGAUACUGGCAGUCUUGAGUACGGGAGAGGUGAGUGGAAUUCCCAGUGUAGAGGUGAAAUUCGUAGAUAUUGGGAAGAACACCAGUGGCGAAGGCGGCUCACUGGCCCGUAACUGACGCUGAGGUGCGAAAGCGUGGGGAGCAAAC
rnacentral:rRNA from 1 species